rnacentral:rRNA from 1 species
AACGAACGCUGGCGGCAGGCUUAACACAUGCAAGUCGAACGCAUCCUUCGGGAUGAGUGGCAGACGGGUGAGUAACGCGUGGGAACGUGCCCUUUAGUUUGGAAUAACCCAGGGAAACUUGGGCUAAUACCGGAUACGCCCGAAAGGGAAGAUUUAUCGCUGAAGGAGCGGCCCGCGUCUGAUUAGCUAGUUGGUGAGGUAAUGGCUCACCAAGGCGACGAUCAGUAGCUGGUCGAGAGGAUGAUCAGCCACACUGGGACUGAGACACGGCCCAGACUCCUACGGGAGGCAGCAGUGGGGAAUAUUGGACAAUGGGCGCAAGCCUGAUCCAGCCAUGCCGCGUGAGUGAUGAAGGCCUUA